UGGAACUCUGCAGGCUGUCAGGUCUGUGAAGGUGAGGAUGCAGACCUCUCAGACUGGCUGAGCAAUGAUACUUUGAACUUCUUUCAGCCAAAGAUCUCCAAGUGAUUUUCAGAUAUUCAUUAAAUAAGCUUCACAUCACCCCAGAGCUCUGAGAUGACUCACACAUUGAGGAACUGUUCUGUGGUUUGGCACAGCCCACCAAACCACAUUUUCAGCCCUUGGACUCAAAUUAAAAAGCAGAUCCAGAUUCUAAAAGAGUGAAGUCUAGCAAACAUGCGUACCGCCCAUAGUGACUCGGUGCCAUCAGCUUCUUCAGCUUGGAGUGGAUCUGAAAGAACUGCACUUCUCACCUAAUCUCGGCGGCAGCAUCUCACCUGAACGGGGCUAAAGGGCAGUUCCCAAAGGCUCAUGAUGAUUCUGGAGUCCCACUAACUGAAUAGCGACUCUGGUUGUACAGUGGGAGAUGGACCUAUACAGAGUGCUGAGAGCAAGGCACCUAGGACUCUUCUAUGGAAAAUGUUGCCUUUAUUUCAUUUUUCACCCAGGACCCAGACGCAAUGGUGGUAGGUGCAUGUGAAAUAGAUUGAGGAGCGAGCGUGCUUCCAUAUGCAGAUUUAGCAAAUGGAAUCACUUCUGUGAGGACUGUUGUGUUACACUGAAAGGAAGAGGAAGCUGCUCAGGACACGUUCAACGCACGCUCUGGUUAAUUUAUGUGACCUGGCACUCUGAAAACGAAUAAAACCAGCUUACGCUUCCACUUGCACAUGAUUAAUGAGAGCGCACCGUGCCCGACCUAGGAAAAAAAUAUACAGAUUAGGAGAGAAAUUUGGAAUUAACAAAACAUCUGUUAACGGAGCUAGAAAUAUUC